UACAGAGGGGGCAAGCGUUAUUCGGAAUUAUUGGGCGUAAAGGGCGCGUAGGCGGCCUGGCAAGUGGAAGGUGAAAUCCCGGGGCUCAACCUCGGAACUGCCUUUGAUACAGCAUAUCUUGAGUCCGAUAGAGGUGGGUGGAAUUCCUAGUGUAGAGGUGAAAUUCGUAGAUAUUAGGAAGAACACCGGUGGCGAAGGCGGCCCACUGGAUCGGUACUGACGCUGAGGUGCGAAAGCGUGGGGAGCAAACAGG
rnacentral:rRNA from 1 species